GCCAAGAUACAGAAGGUAGGAGACAGAGGAAGGACUGAAGGCAAUUCUGAGUCAACAAGUAUGUCUAGAAAAGAGAAAGAGAAAAGAUCAAACAGGUUAUAUGUAGGUCUACAUGGGUUGUCUAAAUGCUGCUCAAAGGGGAGCAUGAAGAGAUCGAUCUGCAAUCCAAGAGAGACAGAUUCCUGCCUGGAGGGAAGCAGAAGAGGCCAUGCUAUUUAUUCUUCUCUGGGAGAGAAAGCGGUACUGAACAAAAUUUACAUCUAAUAUUUCUAAGUAAUGCUAUUCAAAAGGAAUGAUUCCCACUCCCCCUUGGGUUCAAGCCACUUUUCUGGUUGCUAUUCCUUAAAGAGAAAAUAAUACAAACUUUAUGUAAAGGUUGACCCCUUCUCACUAAAAGCUACUUUCACAGAAAACUAUCACAAAUAGUGAAUAGAAAUUAAACCUAUUUAUUCAAUUAGAGAGAGAGAGCAGAUCAGAGAUGUUAUAUCAAAUUUUAAAAAGCAGACAUAUAUAGACAAAUUUUCAAUCUAGGAAUGAAAUAUCUCCUCUUACUCAAGAGAUAAAGACCUCUCUCACCAGAUCUCCCAAAAGUCUCAAGAGAGGCAAACUGAAAUUCAGAAACAAUUGAGGAUCUAACUUUUUCUGUAUAGAAACUUCCAAAA
rnacentral:lncRNA from 1 species